UAGAGUGUAAAACAGAGAGGACCACCACCCGCGUCAUCCUGUCAACAGAGAGUAUGUGUACCACGAUGCUAACAUUCCAGGUGGACUCCUCACAGUGGUUCUGCUGAAAGGCUUUUGGGAUCUCCGUUACCCUACCAGAGAUUGAGCCCUGUCAGUGAAAGCCUGGAAUCUAAACACUAGGCCACCAGGGAACUCCCCGGUUGAUUUUCCAAGACGUCCCAGUGAUCCAGUG